rnacentral:rRNA from 1 species
GGGGAAUAUUGCACAAUGGGCGAAAGCCUGAUGCAGCAACGCCGCGUGAGUGAUGACGGUCUUCGGAUUGUAAAGCUCUGUUUUUUGGGACGAUAAUGACGGUACCAAAGGAGGAAGCCACGGCUAACUACGUGCCAGCAGCCGCGGUAAUACGUAGGUGGCAAGCGUUGUCCGGAUUUACUGGGCGUAAAGAAUGUGUAGGCGAAUACUUAAGUGAGAUGUGAAAGCCCCGGGCUCAACCUGGGAACUGCAUUUCAAACUGGGUAUCUAGAGUGCAGGAGAGGAAAGCGGAAUUCCUAGUGUAGCGGUGAAAUGCGUAGAGAUUAGGAAGAACAGCAGUGGCGAAGGCGGCUUUCUGGACUGUAACUGACGCUGAGGCAUGAAAGCGUGGGGAGCAAAC